GUGUAGGAGUAUUUCGCACAGACGGAUGAAGAGAAGCAGCAGGGUCUGCCGGUGGUGAUGCCCGUGUUUGAUCGCAACACCUGCAGCAUUCCCAAAUCCCAGAUCUCCUUCAUCGACUACUUCAUCACCGACAUGUUUGACGCCUGGGACGCGUUUGCUGUUCUGC